AUCCCCAUGGUAACCCUCCUUGGUCCUUCCUCUUGUUAGUAACCUGCCACUGAUUCUGAUGGUGAAAGCCUGGCCCUCUUGAGCAAGUCAGCAGCAUCUGAUCACGGGCCAGUAUUUGCAGUGGAUCUGUGACCCAUUUGACAGAAGAUGGGCCGGAGCUCUGAGAGUAGAGAAUUCAGAGCUUGAUUUAGAUCUAUCAGCCCAGCCUACUCCCACAUGUCCAGAGAGUCCAAUCCUGGGAUUCCAGAUCAUGAAUACUAAUGGCAGAUCUGUCAUCCUGCUGGUCUGUGCAAAUGAAAUGCCUCCUCCAGGCUGGGCUGACCCUCUCCUGCAGUCACAGCAGCUGCCAUGUGAACAUCAGUUCCCUGUGGCCUCCACUGCAAGCAUGCCCUCUCUGAGCCUGAGCUGAAAGGCGGACAUGGGGUGGCCAAGAUGACUUCUUUGGUACACAGGUAAGGUGCCUCUUGGUGACUUUAGAAAUUAUUGGAGAAGAAACUGGCUAGGGCUGAA
rnacentral:lncRNA from 1 species